UACAAUACUUGCUUUUGUCGUAGCCUUUGCACAUCGGCUGUUGGGUUGCUAAGAGGGACACCUGAAGCCCCGAGGAAGAACCGGUCCUUGUCGUCUCUAUCUGGAGCUUGGGCCUUUAAAUAUUCUGGCCGGAUAUGAACAAACUCCUUUGGACAGCGUUACAGUGACUCCGUCUGCCUCUGGCACUCUGUCGUUCCACUCCU